ensembl:lncRNA
CCUGGAUAACUUUUAAUUGAUUAGAUCAGGUGCUACGGAGCACUUAAAGGCUCUAAAACAUAACCCCUGUAUUACAACAGCACCGUUUGCCUUUUUACAUGUGGGCAUGUGGACAACUGACGAAACAAAGUCUGUAAAUGACAUCAAAUGAGCCAGUGUUGUAUGUGAGAGACAGCUUAAAUAAGUAACUGUACAAAUACGUCUGGUGACACUGCUGAUAUAAAUGGGGAUGUAUGACUCAUUGUCUCGAAUAGUAUACAGUAGUCAGGGAUUUUUGUAUCAGUGAUGUGUGAGAGUUAACCUAAUUAUAAAUAAUGCAAUAGACCUUUUGGAUUGUAAAGAAAUAAACAUUCAAUAAUUGUUCAAAGAUGCACUCGCCAUUUUUCUUAAUGUUAUUACAUUUUUGCAGAUGGCAAUAAUGAAUGAGAAAUCAUCUGUAACGUAUUCACAAGUCAAAUGUUUGUGAAGGAGUUUGUGUCGUUUUGAGAUUUGGAGUAUCAAUCAAGAAUUGUGCCAACUGUGCAAUAAGUAUGAUGUUAGCACAGGGUCAGAGGUUCUGAACGUCUCUGUCUGGUUCCUCGUAGGAUGCUUUGACCUUGUGCCUACAGGUGCUCAGUUUGGUGGCUCCAGUUACUCCUUUCUGGUGUACGCUUUGUCAUCAGCUGUGGUUUUUCUCCUUCUGCUCUUCACUGGAUUUGUGGUGAUUUCUAAAUGCAAAGGAUCUCAGAGUAUGAAGUCACAUGAAGCCGAUGUCUACGAGGAAAUGGGUAGGGCAACACCUCCCAGUCAAACACAAGCACCUGCCCAUCAGAGGGAAAUAACAGAAGCUUCCCAACAAAGUAAACUUCACCUGGGGAACCCCUAUGAAUUUCAAGAGGUGCUCUCAUCAACAUCAUAAACUAGAGUGUCCAAAAACACUAAACUCCAGUUAGUGUGCAGAAUUCUUAUAUCUUUUAAAUCUCCUGCAUAUUGCUAGACAGCUUGCAUUCAGACAUU